rnacentral:lncRNA from 1 species
GUCUCUUGGAAUUGAUGAAAUCAUCUGGGCGGCCAAGAAUUUUGAAGUACCAGAGGAAGGUAAGCAUCUCGCCAACAAAGGGAAAUCCCAGGUGGCCAGGUGGUAACUUCGUAGCAGUACCGGAAAGUUGAAAUUUCAGAGGGAGAACGUACCAUAUCUCGUUACACCACCACGUUAGUAAACCCAACAACGGCAGGGAUCCAAUAAUGCAGGCUAAUAAUACACCUAUUGUAAUUUCCAUUUUAAAACAUGCAACAGCUAUAUAUCUUCUUGAAUAAGUAUGACCUAACUCUAAUACCCUAUUUAUACCCUUAAUUAUACCUAUUGCUGGGAUGGAAAGAUUCCUGGAGGAUGAUUCUGUGGUAACCAAUCCCACUUCCAGACAAAACAGAAACACUACCGUGAGUGAAGAGGCAGCAAGCGUGAUAUAGAUGAGUUCAGUUGGUGUAACUUUUUCUACUAUUUUAUUUAUUUCGCUCUCUAAGUUGUUCCGACCUAUAUUUCAAAAUUACAAACCACGUUCUCAGGGGUCAAGUCAUCGAUCGUGCAGACAAAACAUAGCUUUUCUACUAACUGCUUUUGGUGCUACGGAUUCUAUUUAAAAAAAAAAAAAAGUAUUGAUUAGAAUAAAAAAUUCAAUUAAUUUAGUAGCAAUGUUUAUGUAUUGAAUAAUUGAUUAAUCUCUUAAUUUUAUUAAAUGUAAUUCUUUUUUUUUUAGUCAAAGUAGUUAAUACCUAGAUUCUAUUUUGUAGAUUUGAAAACUCUCAAGUGUUUAAGUAAAUAUCUUUUUAUAAAGAUAAAGUGUAAUGAUAUUUUAAAUAGAUAGACUCUGAAAAUAUACUAAACCUAUUAAGAAUGAAGAGAUUGUCAUUGCAAUGAUAUUUUAUAGAGAUAAAUUCUGAAAAUAUAUAAAAAAUAUUAAAAAUAAAAAGACUGACCACUUAGAGUUUGAAGGAUUCAUGAUGAAGAUUUAUGUUUUUAAUUUAUAGAAUUAAGAUCAUUAACUAAAAAGUUCCUUAUCAAUGAAAUUAGUGUAUGUUUUUCUACUAUUUUAUUUAUUUGUUUAUUUCACUCUACAAGUUGUUUCUACUUAUAUUUUAAAAUUACGAACCACGAAGAUCAAUUUCACGAUACUGCUGUGUUUCUAAGGGUCGAGUCAUCGUGCGGGGAAAGCAUAUUUUGUAGGUAAGCAUCUCACCAACAAAGGGAAAUCCCAGGUGGCCAGGUGGUAACUUUGUAGCAGUACCGGAAAGUUGAAAUUUCAGAGGGAGAACGUAACAUAUCUCGUUCCACCACCACGUUAGUAAACCCAACAACGGCAGGGAUCCAAUAACGCAGGCUAAUAAUACACCUUUUGUAAUUUCCAUUUUAAAACAUGCAACAGCUAUAUAUCUUCUUGAAUAAGUAU